CCCCUAGAUGUUCUGGGCCGCACGCGCGCUACACUGAACAGUUCAACAAGUCUUAACCUUGGCCGAUAGGUCUGGGUAAUCUUUGAACGCUGUUCUUGAUUGGGAUAGACCUUUGCAAUUAUGGGUCUUCAACGAGGAAUUCCUAGUAAACGCAAGUCAUCAGCUUGCAUUGAUUACGUCCCUGCCCUUUGUACACACCGCCCGUCGCACCUACCGAUUGAAUGGUCCGGUGAAAUCUCGGGACGGCGGCUUGGUCGCUUGCGUCCGACUGCUGAAACUUGAUUAAACCAUAUCAUUUAGAGGAAGGUGAAGUCGUAACA
rnacentral:rRNA from 1 species